AGCAAAUUAGCUCUAGGGAUUAAAAUAAGAGCGUCAGUCCAAUAUAAACUUACAGUCCACAACCAUCACAUUAGUUCUAAACUUACAGUCCACAACCAUCACAUCAUAGUUCAAAGUUUAAAUACUUCAGUACAACCAACUCUAGGAAUUUAAAGGACUUCACGUAGAAACAUCUCCAAAAGACAGCCAUCAAAGCAUCACACCGAACAGCAAAAGGCAACCAUCAAAGCAUCACAACGAACAACAACUCCAAAAGAAAUCAUCACUAGCUCCAGCUUCCAUGCUCCAAGCCUCCAACUAGCAUCAUUCUCCAAGCUCCAGCUAGCUCCAAGCUCCAGCU
rnacentral:lncRNA from 1 species